GCCAGGUAGCGAGAAGAAAACAAGAGAUGUUUGGGAAGGAAGCUGCACACAUUUUUUAGUCGUAUUAUUCGUCUUCAAUGAUGACUUUUCUACAUAUGCUGUGGCCAGGCUAAGGAUGUUUUCCUUGCGUAUAGUAACAGUUGACCAUUAUCAGGGGACGCCUGUAAAUGGUUUGGAUCCCCAGUAUUCGACUUUUCGGGGAGCUCCAGUAAAGCGUGUUCCAGUGUUACGUAUCUUUGGUGCCACACCUGCAGGACAAAAGGCCUGCCUUCACAUCCAUGGAGUUUUUCCAUAUAUUCUGGUCCCAUAUGAUGGAGCCGAGCCUAUCGCCCGUCUCGUGUAUACUCUGGCUGCUGGUGUGGACCGGGCGCUUAACAUUGCCUUGGGCCAUGCUACUUCCAACACACAUCAUGUAUAUAAAGUUACACCAGUGUCUGGCAUACCAUUUUAUGGAUACCAUUCAAAGGAGCACCAGUUUCUUAAAAUUUUCUUCUACAAUCCACUUAUUGUAAAAAAGGCAGCAGAACUUCUUCAAAAUGGGGUCAUUCACAAUAAAGUAUACCAGCCACACGAGUCUCAUGUACCAUAUGUGCUUCAGUUUCUCAUGGACCAUAAUCUUCAUGGAAUGAAUAUGAUACACAUGGCAACAUGCAAGUUCAGGCAUAAUGAAGGGCCCGAUGAUGCAGAAAUGCUCUCGGCACCAUCCCCUGCUGGCAUACCAGAAGUCUCUCCAUCAUCUAUUCAAACAUCUGGAGAUGUAAGCAGCUCCUUGCGUCCAAGUACCAAAAUAUGGACUAGAGAGAGUGUGCCACAGCACCUGUGGCUGCCUGAAACUGUUGCUAGAAUGUCCAAGUGUGAACUUGAAGUGGAUGGCCUUUCUUCAGAUAUUCUGAACAGAUUGCAGAUUGGAACUGGAGUAGCUACAAAUCCUGGGUUGUCGUACAUUUGGGAGGAUGAAAUAGAGAGGCGCGAGGCACGAGGGGGAUCACGAGAAGAUCUUCAACCACCAGACUCUCCACCAAGGACUAACAUCACCACUUCAGAUUCAGAGCUAUUCUACAGAUCAGUUUUAAAGGAGAAAUUGACUGCUCUUCUUGAAAAGUCAGUGGAACCCAGUCAAGAAGUACCAACUGGAGCUUGUUUGGCUGCUGUUACUCCUGAUGAUUCAACCCUGGGCCCAGCUACAGCAGUAGAUGUUAGUGACCAGGAACAUACUUCAUCUCAUACAAGUACAGGAGCAGGCAUUAAGAUACAGCAAACAGCUGAAGAACUUUUAGAAACCUCUGUUGUUGAUGAAGAGCUUAUAUUAAGUCUUACACAACAAGCUUCAUCUCAAUGGAUGGAUUCAGCUGAUGAAGAAUUGUUAAAUGUUAUGGCUGGAUUAGCUGACGGCUCACAGAUAGUUUCUCCCGAAGAUAAUGAUGCAGUCCUCUCCACACAACAUUCAAUAAGUCAUUCUGGAAAAUCUCUGAGCCAGAAUCCAGCUUGGGAGGGAGAUACUGGCAGAGAUCAUCAUAGCGAUGAGGAAGAAACUUGGGAAAUGACGCAGCGCAUAUGGGAUUCAAUACUGCCAGGGGAGAACCAAGAUAAACUACCUAGGGACCAGUCUGUGGUGAUGGAAGCAGACCGAGAUAUGGAAGAUACUGAACCGUCAUUUAGCAUACCACAACUUGAUGGUCCUGCUGAUUCUGAGCCUCAGUUUAAGUCUGCAGUAAGAACUAAGAGUUUUAGUGCGCGAGAAACCUUUGUGCCUUCUGGUAGUGCCCAAAUCUUGAAACAGAAUCCUGUGAUAUUGAAAAUAACACAAGACUGUAGUAACAGAGACAAAGCUGCUACUUUUGGUAAAAUAACUCAGCCUAGCCAACAAGCUUCUAUUGCAGUGACAAAUUUGCCCAAGAAAUUAGUUUCGUACGAGAGACGUAGUGUUACAAGAACUAUAUGCUCUAGGGGUAAAAAGGUAACAAGUUGUAAGUGUAGUGAUAGCGAAUCAAGUGAUGAAGAUUUUGUGAUUCCGCAGUUUGAUGGUGCAAAUGAUUUUAUUUCACGCAAAAACAGACGACAACACACAUCUCACAACAAUUCAAAUUCCCAACGUAACAUUGAAAGAAACACAUCUUUUGUGGCAUCUCAGCGACAGACUAAUCAUAAUAGUAGAACUGCCUCGGAUAAUGCACGUGAUACGUUUCGUGAAAAUAUUACACAAAGGAACAGAGGAAAUGCAAAUAUAGGGUCUCGAGUUGCAUUAACAUCUCAACACUCCCAUUCACAGCACCAAGGCCAUCAUGUGAGACAUCAUGUCUCAUCCUCUGUGCCUUACUCUACAGCUUCCCAGGGUCCAGUGCCUUCAUCGCUUAACAGUGUACCUGGUAAUUCUUCAUCCUCUGUUCCCUCUGACUUAGGUAUUAAUACAAUACCUGAUCUCCCAGACUUCAUGGAUAUAUCUUCACAUAUGAAUUUAGGGGAUGGCCAGAGUUCUAGUAUUAUUAGUAGUAGUGCUUUACAGGGUAACACAUGCUCACAGGCUAAGAGCAAGUCUUCCAGAGGGAGUAGAAAGUUAACCAAUCAAUCACAGCUUUCAACCACUGCCCUGCUGAACAAGGAGUCUCAUUCACCUAUGCAGUCUUCAGCAUUGACGGCCAUGCAAGGACCAAUGAAUAUCACUCCUUUGUCAAACAUUGGGGUAUCUCAAAGAGUUCCUGGCAUUGGGAAGGCUCUUGUUGUACCAGCACUUGUUACAAACACAAACACUAGAGUAAAUGUCAGUGGUCUCACCAAUUCUCAUAUGGGGCUGCCACCUAAUUAUGUUUUACAACAACCUAGUAAUCUCGGUAUAAAACGAUCGCCUGCACCGUCAACAAACAACCCAAAUCCAUCAGGCUUAUUGUUAAUGUCAAAGGCAUCAUCCAAUUAUAGUGCUACCUCUUCUCAUGAGAGUUUACACAGAACAAUGAAUAUUCGGGGGCAUAAUAAAUUGGAAUUGGCUGUUUCUCAAUCUCAAAUCUAUCAACAAAAUUUAAAUACACACAGUAGUGGUCAGCAGCCCAAUUAUCCUGAACUGUCUAGUCAGAGCCAUAAAGCCGGUCGAAGAAACUAUGCUACACAAGCUCAGCAGGAAUCCGAACCAAGUUCUUCAGACACUGCACUUUUUCCUGGGUCAGUAAAGACAAUACUACGUCAAAACUCUGAACACUCGGUAUACUCACCAAUAUCCGAUGAAUCUGAUGCAGAUGUACCAAAUAAUACUAGAACAUUAGCUGCAAAUAAUGAUGUCAUGGAAUCAGUAGAUAACGAGUCAAAAAUUACUGAACCCUCAGACAAGGAAGAUAUUUUAAAGCAAGCAUUUGAUAUGACACUUUUUGAUGGCAUUGAUCUUGAAGUUGAACCAAUGGAUGCUAGUGACAGUAAUGUGGAGAAUGAAUCAAAUAAUUUAUCUGAAGAAAGAACAUCAACUAUGCCAAUCCAAGAGUCACCUUAUCUAACCUCUUAUGCAAGUGACUAUGACAAUGCAAAUGCCAUAGAAGUUGGUAACAAUUUUGAAGAUGAAAAUGUGUCCAAAAAGAUUAUAACAAAAGAAUAUACCAAGCCAGUGGAAGGCAAUAAAUGUGUAGGUGGAAGUCAAUCAGUGAAAAGCCUUACUGCAAUAACAAAAGACAUUCCUGGGACAAGUACAAAGUUCAGCAAGAGAGAGAGAAAGGAAAGGGAGAAGACACAAAGCAAGCAAAAAAAUUUAAGAUCCGAGGCACAAAAUGAAUUAUAUGCCAGUGAAAUUAAAGGACAAAAUCAGGUAAGUGCUGCCAGCUCCUCUUAUAUUCCUUCAAGAAACAAUUCUGCAAGAAAAGAAAGUAACCACCAGUCAAAACUUGCAUCAUCUGUAAGGAAUCAGGAAUUACAAAGCUCUCAAAAACCUGGCCAAAGUGUUAGAGGUAUUCCUGAGAAACUGGUCAGGCGUAAUUCUCGGGCAGACAGCACAGAAGGAUCUUAUCCAUUUGAUGUUGACUAUGAUGUUGCUCCCCAUACACCAGGAAGUUUUCUGCCAGUCCAUGAUCAAUCUCCAAGUCCAAGACACUCACCAUCCUCACAGCUGAAGCCAUCUCAGUCUUCCUCUUCUUACAUGUCAACUUCUACCAAGAGAAUUCAGUCUUCACAACAUAGGAAAUUGUCUGAUGUUGAAAACCCUGACUGGUAUCAUCUUGAUUGCCCACCAACUCCAGGGAAUCCACUGAAAGAGUCUUGGUCUCUACAAGAGGAAGUUUCCAGUCCAGAUGCAGGAAAGAAGGAUGCUAAAAGCAAUACAUUAAAACAGAGUACAGGUACAAGCAAACCUUCUCCUUGUUCUAAUGAGAGUAGUCAAGCACCUGAAGUAAACAAUGUUUCUAAGAAGAAAUCUCGUAAAAAAAUUGCCAGAUUAUUUGGAUCUUUUUCGCCUCCAUUAUCUGAAGUUGAAUCAACAUCAGAUAAGAUGAAGUCUCUAACUGUAGAGCCAUCGAGUGAUAGCUUCGACUUUGAUGAUGAAAAUGAUACUCCUGAUCGUCCUCAGACUCCUGGUCGAGAAGUUGGUGGAGAUCAUUCAUUUGCUGCUCCUUCCAAAGAUGCUUUACAAAUACAGAAGAAACAGGUGCAUGAAUAUGUCUUCGAUUUUGAUGUGGGUAGUCCUCCCGAGAGACCAGUGACCCCAGGGGGUAGUCAGGAAGUGCAGGAUAUUCUUUCCAGUGAAGCAAGUAAAGAUUCAAGUCAAAUAAGUUAUCAGCAGUUUGAGUCUGUAUUUGAUCCUGACUUCAUGCCUCACACACCUUUAGAGCGACCCAGGACACCUGGAGGUGGGUCUUCAUCCUCCACCCCUCAAACAACCGAUAAAGAAGCCUCACAUUCGUUGGGAUUGGACAGGUUGCCUUCAUCUACAGAUUUGACAAGUGGUUCUUCAAUGUUGCCAAGAGGUCUUCACCACAAAGAGCAACAAGAAUCUAAGUUAAGUGACCUGUUACCUGUGAACAAUCAGCCAUCUAUUACAGAUAAAUCUAGAAACAAAUUUUCUUCUCAACAAAGAGCAGAGAAAGAGAAGUGUGGUGUGAGUGAUUCCUUCAAUAAAACCAAAAAAAACUUAUUAUCUGCUGAAGCAAGCCAAAGACAAAAUGAAAAGAAUAAAAAAGAUUCAAAACAAGUACCCUCAUCUAGUGGAUAUGGAGGAAGUUUGAGCUCGUAUGGUCAUUUGAAAGAGCCUAGGUCAAGGUAUGCAGAUCAUAAAAGUGAUGUGAAGGAUACAGUGGAACGUGACACUCAAUUCAAAUCUCAUUUUGGAGGAAAAAAUCAGGAACGAAAACCACAAACUGAGGGAACAUUUGAGCAAACAACCCCUGGAGAUUUAUAUCACAGAGACAGAAUUCCACAAAAGGUAGAGCGCAUUUCAGAGGAUAGGAGAACCACUGUACCGAAGGACUAUAAUAAAAUAAACAGCCAGCCAUCGACUUCGGGGGGAUAUGAAAUUGAUAAAAGCAUUAACACAUCAAGUGGCUCAAAAAUUGAUUCUAGAAUUCGGCAUACUGUAAGACCCAUACAGUCCUCUCAUCAUUUUGAAAGGGGACAUAGAGAGUCCAGUAGAGAAGACAGUGGGAAAAAACCAACUUUAGUUCCAACUUCUGGCCAAUCAACAGCAUAUACUUGUGACACCGGGUCAAAAACAAACAAACCCCAGUACCGUGCCUCAAGGCCUGUUGGGAUCCAGAGACCAGGAGGAAGCCGGCCGUCAUCUCAACUUUCGAGAAUAAAUAGCUCUAGCAUCACGGCAGAUAAUGCUAGGUCAUUAUCACAGCCUAGUAGUCGCCAUCAGUCUCCUAACAGAAGUAAACUUCAAGUGGAAAAUCGCUCCCAUUCAUUACCAAGAAACCGAUCCCAUUUUUAUCCAGGGAUUAGGAGUAGUCAGUAUGGAAGCCAACAACAUGAUAGAAAUAUGAAUUCAGCUUCUACAACACACCAGUCUGUUUCUUCACCAAAAAAUAGGCCACAAUAUUCACCAAGAAACCAUCCACAGUCGUCAUCAGGACACCGAUCACAGGCAUCACCAGGUUACCAACCAUACUCUUCAUCUGAAAAUCAAACUCAAUAUUCACAGGAAAAUUGGCCUCAUGUAUCACCAGGAAAUAGGUCAAAUAUUUCACAGGAAGAUAGAUCACGAACACUUCUUAGGAAUGGACCACCACAAAGUGGAAGAUCCAUGCAGUCUUCAUCAGGGAACUAUAAUUUGUCAGGUCAAAGAUCCCAUAAACAUGAGAACCAGUCAUCAUUUCCAUCAAGACAUAGACCUCAUUUUCAGCAAUCUUAUAAUAAUAAUUUUCAGUCAGAAAACCGGUCUCGUCCACCAGGAAUUCAAUCCAGAUCAUUAGGUGGUCAAAAUCAGUUUCAGCAUGACAAGUUUCAAGGGUCUUUUGGAAGAAAGCAAAAUGAACAGAAACCUGUACAUGAGUAUGGUUUAAAGCAGAAAUCUUUAAAGUCUUUUCCUACUUUAGAAUCUAGCUUUUGUAAAGGAAAAAGCAUUAAUGUGAGUGAACCAACAAAUUUGAAAAAAGAUUCUCCAGAUCAGUCAAAUCGAAAAAGUACUGAAGACACAAUGAGCGUUAAAGCAAAGCUAGAUUCAAAGAAGCAGCCUGAAAAUUAUGAAGAUGACUUUGUCUUUCCCCUGAUAGAUGCAUCAUUACCACUUAUGAGUCCUAUACCAUGCACCCCUGCUGCGCAUCGAGAUGAUUCGGGCCCUCUCUCGGACAGUAGUGCUAGUUCUCUACCUACUUUGGAUACAGUACAACCGCCGAUGAGUCCCAUGGCUCCAACACCAAGGCAUCAAUCACAAGAUGAUGUUAUGUCUCGAUUGCAACCUCUCAGUCCAGUUGAACCGUCUGUGAGUCUGGCAGGAUCCAUAACUCCAUCCAGCUCAUCUUUUAUAUUGCCUUCAGCCCCUGGCCCUAUGAUGAGUCCUAUCCCUCCUACUCCAGUACGAGUAACAUCUCCAUUCCAUGUGAGUCCUAUGCCGGUGCUUCCUUCUUUAAUAGGGCCCAUGGUUAGUCCACUUGCUAAUACUCCAUUGCAUAUUAUGGGGGACAACUUCUCAGUGACAGGAACAUUACUGAGUCCCAUGCCUGCUACACCUCGUGGAAUGCCAGAUGGCGAAGAUCACCCAUCAUUGGCUUCACAUGAAAGCCAGUUUAGCAGCCUUCGGGAGGCUACUGAACACUUUUCUGUGGAUCCUGUAAUGAGUCCAAUACCACAAACACCAGCUCAUUUACCACAGAUGCCACCAGCACAGCUCCCCACCACAAAUUAUAAUUUAAGAACAACUUCUCCAAACCCAGCCAAAAGUCCAGUCCCUCCAGUGCCUGAAUAUUCAGAGGAUGAUUAUUUUCAUCAGCAUCCAGGGUGGAGUCCAAAACCUGUGUACCCAUCGAUAGGACCCAUUAUGAGUCCUAUGCCACAAACACCUAAUCGCCUUGGAGCAGAAAAUGAUGAUCAUAGGACUAAUGCAUUAAGUCCUCUGCCUACAUUGCCUUCAGCACCUGGCCCCUUGAUGAGUCCAUUACCUCAAACUCCAUCAUAUGUAUCACAGUGUUAUGUUCAACAAUCUCCUGUUUACAUGCCCUUCACUCCAAAUGUUCAUACCCCACAGACACCAACACAUACUUCUCAAACACCUCUUCAUAUCCCACAGACAUCUGUGCCUACAUCUCAGACUCCAGCUCAUACAUCUCAAACAACAGCAAGUGUUAGUCAUUCACAAACUCCUCUGACACCACCAUUGGCUUCAUUGACACCUAUACCAGCACCCUUGACACCUAUUCAGACUCCUUUUCAAAAUCCUUUUACGCCAUUACAACCUCCUUUGACACCUUUACAAACAUCCUACACUCCACGGCAAGACCUAUUGACAUCUCAUCAAACUCCUCGAGCUUCUGUACAAGAUUCAGAUAGAUUUAAUACUCCUGCAAAUUCUACUUCAGUGGCAAGUCCACUUAAUGAGUUAGGUUAUGGGGGGGGAGAUUAUAGCCCCAUGCCUGUACUACCAUCAGUGCCAGGACCAGUAAUGAGCCCGAUGCCACAAACUCCUGUACAUGUACCUCAAAGCCCUUUUCCGAGCCUUCCUUUAAUGGCUGUUUCUUGUAGAUCAGAGGUAAUUAAUUCUUCAGCCACAUCUGAUAUAACAAGCACAUCACAUGAAACAAAAACCUCCACAGGGUCUUCUCAGCCUUUUGAUGACAAUAACACACACUUUAAUUUGACAUCACUUGAUUCAAAUAGGAAAACCCCCGUUGUCUCGGCUACUGGUGACAAUUCAGAAACUUGUAUAGCCAGUAUUUCUGGGGAUACUGUACCCAGUGUUAUAACUGUCUCUUCACCUUCAAUAUUUUCUCCUGAGAAUAAUGAAACAGACAUAAGGUCAGUUGAAUCUCCUGCAUCUAAUCUUCCGGGUCACUUUGUUCAGUCCCAGACGAAGCAGAGUAUUCUAAGUCCAUCGCCACAUUCACAGUCAUCUGGUAGGAUUGUACUUCAACUUAGCCCUGCUCACCAUUCCCCAGUGUCUGUUGGUACUGGUUCUCUUCCUGUGUCUGAGCCUCAGUCCCAAGUGGGCACAGAUGCUGGAUCUCAUUCCAGUCCAGUCUCCCAUAUUUCCCAGGUGUCUGUAAGGGAUGUAUCUUGUCCCAGUUCUGUUCCUCCUCCUUAUCAAAGUCCAGUCUUUCAUUCACAUAUUGCAGCAGGCUCUGGGUCUCUUUCCAGCCCAGUGUCUCAGUCCAAUAUAUUUGUUGAAACUGACUCUCAUCCCAGCCCAUUGCAUCAGUCACAGCUGUCUAUUGGUACUCAUUCUCAUCCCAGCCAAUUGCAUCAGUCACAGCUGUCUAUUGGUACUCAUUCUCAUCCCAGCCCAUUGCAUCAUUCUCAGUCAUCUGUUGGCACACAUUCUCAUCCCAGCCCAUUGCAUCAUUCUCAGUCAUCUGUUGGCACACAUUCUCAUCCCAGCCCAUUGCAUAAAUCCCAGCUAUCUGUUGGCACACGUUCUCAUCCCAGCCCAAUACAUCAGUCCCAGCUAUCUGUUACCACUCAUUCUCAUCCCAGCCCAUUGCAUCAGUCCCAGCUAUCUGUUGGCACACGUUCUCAUCCCAGCCCAAUACAUCAGUCCCAGCUAUCUGUUACCACUCAUUCUCAUCCCAGCCCAUUGCAUCAGUCCCAGCUGUCUGUUGGCACACGUUCUCAUCCCAGCCCAAUACAUCAGUCCCAGCUAUCUGUUACCACUCAUUCUCAUCCCAGCCCAUUGCAUCAGUCCCAGCUGUCUGUUGGCACACGUUCUCAUCCCAGCCCAAUACAUCAGUCCCAGCUAUCUGUUACCACUCAUUCUUAUCCCAGCCCAAUGCAUCAGUCCCAACUGUCUGUUGGGACUUGUUCUCAUCCCAGCCCAAUGCAUCAGUCCCAGCUGUCUGUUGGCACUUCUCAGUCCAGCCCCUUGCAUCAGUCCCAGAUGUCUGUUGCCAUUUCUCAUCCCAGCCCAUUACAUCAGUCCCAGAUGUCUGUUAGUACUGGUUCUCAUAUUGGCCCAAUGCCCGAGUCUCACUUAUCUUCAGGUGUAUGUCCUCCCUCUAGCCCUUUGCCUCAAUCCCAGAUGACUGCUGGUGCUUGUCUUCAUACUAGUCCAAGGCCUCAUUCUCAGGUGUCUGUAGGUAUCGAUUCACAUCCCAGUCCAGGUUUGCCUUCACUAGUAACUGCAGACACUUCUUAUCCUACUCCUGUAUCUCAUGCACAAAUGCCUUCAGGAAUUAUUUCUCAUUCAAGUCCAAUAGCUCAGGCACAAAUUCCUGUAAGUGUUGGUUCUCACCACAGUCCAGUGGCACAGUCUCAGAUUACUUUGGAUGUGGAUUCUACAAACAUUACAUCAGACUGUGUUUCUGUGACGACGCAUUCAACUGUCACAAUGCCAGCUGUAACAAUGACAGUGUCUGUAAGUUUGCCAUCAUCACAAGUAAAUACCAUUGAUGUUUUGGUUGGGAAUAAUAAUCAAGUGAAACUUUGUGAUAAUUUUUCUCAGGGCCUUCAUACAUCUCCCGUCAUUGCUAGUCCUGGCAAUAUUUUGCAAAAAUCUUCUUCUCAGCCAUUGUGGCCAGACUUAGCUCCUGAAUCACAAUCUAAUGACAGCAUUCAUAAUUCACAUUUACCUACCAUAGAAACCAGUUGUUCCUUAACCACACCAAACACAAUUUCGUGCAUCUCCUCAGAUACUGGCAUAGCUUUUUGUACAAGUGGGCAAACAGCACCAUUAGUAACAUUACUACCAUCAUCCACAUCAAAUAUGGCUUCUCAUGAAAUUCAUUCUCAAAGUAUUUUAAAGGCAACUUUAUUAUCUAGGCCGAAUCGUAGAGAAACAUUUGUAAAAUCAGUGCCCUCAUGUGUAAAAUUACAAGAUUCAUUAUACUCUAGUGGUAUCCCUCAACUUCAGUCUCAUCUCAAUCAAAUUUCAGCCUCCAGUUUGCUUCAACCUCAGUCUGCUUCAGUUGGUAAUAAUCAGAAUAUGGAACAGGGUGUCAUAAAUGCUCAACCAGAAGCUGCACCAGUAUUAUUCUCAGGUGUUAUUCCACAGUUACCAUCGGGCUCUAUUUUAGAUGGUGUACAAGCCAAUCUUACUGCAUCCCAAGCUCCAUUUCCAUUAGAAGAUGGCCACGAGGUUACUGUUUUACCUCAAGUGAUAUUGAUGCCACAAUUGCAAGGGCCUGUUCAGAUCAGUAUUCCACAGGGAGCUCCUGCAUCUAUAUCUGGCCAGCCACUUCAGUUACCUCUUAUGAUAGGAGCUGUUGUUUCUCAGGAAGAUACUCAGUCCAGUCAAAAUAUAACUUCUGGAUCAGCUGCAAAUCUUGAUGGAAUAAAUAACUGUAGCGUUACAAAAUUACUUCCGGCUGUGUCUGCUUCAGUGCCUGAAGUUACUAUUCCAUUUUCUCAGAACUCGGUAGAUGCUAUGGGAAAUAGCAUUGUUGAUUCAAAUAUUCAAGAUCUUCAAUAUACUGAGCCAAUCAGCUCUAUAGAAAGCAGCAUCAAUACAGCGAGUGAAGUGCAGCCUUCUUCAGCAUGUGAUCUGUACCAGGCCACACCUAGUGUUUCAGAAACCAAUAUUAACCACACAACAUCUGAUAAUAGUGAAGUUGAAGGGACCUUAGAUAUGGUGCAGCAGGCUUUCCAGUCUUCUCUUCUUGAUACAGAAGACGAUUUAGAGAAAGGUAACAAGCCUACUAAUAAAAUGCUGGCCGAUAUUGUAGAUGAAUUAAGUAAUAAAGACUUCUGCAUACCUACUGAAGCCUUAUGCUCUCAAGCUUCAUCAGUGGAUAUAGAAAACAAUGGGAAUCUUAAUUCUGAGCACAACAUUGUGGCAGUCACUACCAGCUGUGAAACAAGUGAGCCAUCUCUGAAUCCUACACUAGUGCAAGUUGUGAGCUAUGACAUGAGGGGCACACAUUUGGCUGUAGAAAACUGUGACGAACCAUCAGGUGAUAAUCAUAAAGAGAAUAUAGGCACAAAUCAGCCCUCACAGUUGCCACUAUUUUUGAAGGCAAUUGAAGCUAUGCUAGAACAACAGAUGCAAGAAGAUGCACAAAAAGAGCAGGACAUUGAAAAGAAUGAUAAGGAAACACAUGAUGAAAGCAUAGAUUCUGAGGAGAGUAAAAAGUAUGAACCGCAGCGAGUGGAUUUGAAGAGGGCAGCUGAAACUAGAGAUUGUGAAAAACCUAAAGGUUCAUUAGCAGGAGAUGCCACAUGCUUGCCACAUUCUGAGCAAGCAGUCAUAACAUCAUAUUCAUCACCCGUUUUGCAAAGUUUGUUAAAUGGGACAAGUACCUUGGGAAAUAUAUCAAGAUCAUGGGAAAGUCCUAUUUUUCCAUCAAAUUCUUUCCUUACUAACAAUUCAAAUAGUGAAGCUUUACAGACUAAAGCAACUUCAGUGGGAACAUCUGCAAUGUCAGCUACCUCAGCAGGAGUUUCUUUACAAACAGAUGCUGUUAUUACCAGACCACAGACCUUCAGCAUGGAAAAAGAAUCUCAGUUCACAUCCGUGAUUAAUUCCUCAAUAGGAACAGCAGCACUUGCAUCUACAGUGAAUAUUACAACACCUGCUUCCUCUCUUGGAACAAUGGUUGGUACUACUUCAUUUAUCAAUAAUCUACCAGUUUCCUCUUCAGAAUCCCUGAACCUUGUUUCUUCAGCUCCUGGGAACACUGACGUGUAUCCAGUUGAUGUGCCUACUCAUACACAGUCUCCAGUCAUUCUGCCCACUACAGUUACUUCAUUGUCUGAAGAGGGAAGCAAUAAUUCUCCAUCUACACAUUUUAAAGAGGCAUCUCUGUUAUCAACAAGUGCCACAUCAAAAGCCAUUCCUUCAGAUGCUGAAGCACACUCAGUGUCUGUGGAAACAAGAGUACAAAUAGUGUCAACUGAUGUGGAACAGUUAGAGAUGUCAAAAAUUGGUGAAAUGUCGUUGUCUUGCAUACAGUCUGUGCAGUCUGUUUCAUCUGUAACUAAUGAGACAGCACACUUUGAAAAUUCUCAGAGUGUUAUUUCAACCGAGUGUUCUGACUUACCUGUGUCAUUUGUAGAACCGUGCACGGCUGCAUCAUCGGCAGCAUUAGUCUCACCUGUGUCAUACAUUAAGUCAGUUUCACCACAAUACACAAGAUCUCUGACACCGUCAUUAUCUCGGAGCUAUGAUACACUGACUUCCACCACAGACUGUUUGAAAGGGCCCACUCACACAAGCUCUAUGAAUUCAAACACUUCAAAAGAGUCAGCCUUACCUGUAUCAUCUAUGGAAACACUGGUACCUUUGCCCUUGCAAGUGUCUGCAACAGCUGUAUCACCUAUAAGUCAUGUUUCUUCUGACUUGGCAUCACAAACGAAUGUAAGUUAUAGGACACCACAACCUGUGACUUCUCCGGCCUCAAGUGAGGAGUGUGUGAUUAUUAAUUCACCACUGAUAACAAGAAAUGUUACAUCUCCAGCCAUAUCUUUGAUGUCACCAUCUGUUACUGUUGUUCUCCCAGUCACUCCUCCAUCAGUCACAACAGCUACAACUUCAAACAUUUCUCAAGGUUCACCUGUUGUUACAAUAUCUAAUGAGCUACCAGCCAGAGAACAUCAAUCAGCAUCUCCUGUUGAAACAGUGGAUUAUAUCAAACCUGCUUUAAAUAUCUCGGCUAAAUCACCUACAGUUUCUUCUGGUAUCAUGGCCCAUAAUGCAAUUGAAGGAUUCAUUCAGCAUUUAUCUGCUCCAAUAAGUUUUCAGAAACACCAGUCCAGACCUAUAGACUUUAAUCAAACAAAUGUAACAGGUGAAAGGGAACUCCAUCACUUACCACCAGGUGCAAUGCCUCAGAUGCCACAAAGUACUCAUGCACAGUCAUAUGCACCACAAGAAUUAGAAAACAAUGUACAGAGAAUAACUAAUGUGAAUGCACCCUCAGAGUGUGCACCACAGCAGACACCACAUAUGAGAUCACAUUUUAAAAAGAAACUGAUUUCUUCAACAAUUAAUGCCACACACAGCUCUGAAGAGUCUGAUUUAGGACAAACAUUAAAAUCUCCUAAUACUAUAUCAAAAGUUGAUCAAGGGUUCACAGAAAAGGUUUCUCUUGGAAGCAGUAGUCCAAAUGUAUUAUUAAAUCUACAGCCAAAUAGGUUUGAAGCAUAUUUAUCUGCUUCAGGUUCUGGAAGCUAUUCUUCAGUAUUAAUACCUCGUCCUGGAGCUUUUGAACAUUCUGGCUUGACAGCAUUGAAAGUAGACUUACCAGGGCCCCCUACAAUUCCUAUUGCACAGGCCAAGCAAGUCAGUCUUGGUUCACGGCCUGAUCUAGUUGGACCUAGCCCAGUGUCAGACCAUGAUACACAGUCUGUUGAUUCUCUUGGAUCCAUUGGAGUUGAAUUACAGCAUCCAAUGUCUAGUCGGAUGUCAUCUAGUAGUGACUUAGAGGCUCCACUACCUCCAACUCCAGUUGGUCAUAUUCGAAGAAUUAGAGAAUCUCCAUCAUCGUCAAGUAGCUCAAAGAGUAGAGCAGAUAGGUCAGCAGAAAGUACUCCCAUUAACUCUUUCAAGAUACCAACAUCUUCACCUUAUUUGGAUCCACAAACUCAGCAGACAUCUCCCUUGUCUUUAGUAAUCCAGAAAGCUGGCACAAGCAGUACCAACAGCCUAUCUGCUGUGUUUCAUGAUGGCCUGCUUAAAAAGUCUAGCAUUCAAGUACACUGUGACGAACAGUUAUAUCGUGACUCUAUAUCACAGCAUAUAUCUCAACGUCACCAAUUUUCACUUCCUGUACCAGUUCAGGAAGUAUCUGUACGGGAUGAACGUGUUUGGCCUUUUCGUAAGAGGUCAAUUACAAUUUCAUCUGAGGAUUCUGAAAAUUCAGAGGUACAAUAUCAGGGAAAUUCUACUCCAUCACAAGCUGUUUCUUGUCUAAGGGGAACCCCCAGUUGUGUAGUGACUAAAGCUGGAACUGCUAGUCCUCCUCCUGGAGACAGAGGCAUACCAACAAUGGCUCCUCCUAGUGUACCAGGUGUCACUCCUUUGGCACAGCACCUCAUGAAUUACCCACUAUAUUCAACCUUGAAGCACAGAUCAGAAAUGGUUGGCAGAUCAAGUGAUCAUCAGGUAUAUAAAGAGCAUCCUUAUUUAAGAGAAACUGUAUUACCAUCCACAAAAUCAGGACCUCCACCCCUGCUAGCCACUGCAGAAGUUGCCCAUCAACAUUCUGGGUCAUAUGGAGCACAACCCAGUACCAGAUCCCAUUUAUCUUUGAAAGAAGAUUCUCCUACACAGAAUGUUGCUAAGGAUGAUGAUGGCCAUGAGUAUUGGAGGUAUCCCUCUUCAGAACUAAGGGAAAUACAGCCCCGCCAGAUUGAACUGUUAGCUCACCUAAGCAGGCAAAUGCCAUCAGACAUGAGACGGUGGCCAGGCAUGCCAAAUCAAACUGUUGCACACAUUAGAUCUCGUCAGAGUGUUAUGUAUACACCUAUGAAUCGUUUUUUUGUGAGAGGACGGUUUCCACAAGCUCCUGUAAUGGAGCGUCUGCAAAUACUUCCACCAAAUUAUGCACCAUCACAGUUCUAUCAGCAGCCUCCCCAUGUUUCAGAAGGACAUAGAGUUUUCACUGACGAGAAUAUUGUUAAGAAAGAUCACGAAAAGGAACAAAAACAGUGCCAGGAGAAUUCCCCAGAUGAUAGUCCCAUCAAUGUAGUAGAUGAUGCACCUGACCCUAUAUUUCCAACGCAAGAAAUUAACAUACCCCCUCUAUCAGAAGCAGUUUCUUUAGGCUCUAACAGUAUUCCCAUUGUAACGGAAAAUUCUAAUUUAGAGGGGCUAGGAAAAUCAUUGCAACACCAUGUUUCAUCCCAGAAACUUUUGAAUGAUAGCAAGUCUAAGACAGCCGUAUCAAAUAAAUCUCCUCCUCGCCAGUCUAGUCCAAAUGUACCUGUAAUAUUGUCUGAUAGCCCUGAGUGUGGGAUGACUUACAGUUCAGCAGAUACAUCUAAUAUGAGCCAAUGUUGUGCAGUGAUCAGUGCCAGUGGAAACACUACUCAAACAACAGGUGGUGCCAGUGGAAGCACUACUCUCACAACAAGUUGUGGCAGGGAAUCCAUUACUUUUACAAGUGGUGCCAGUGGGGGCACCAUUAUCACAAGUGGUGCUAAUGGGGGCACUACUCUUACAAGUUGUGCCAGUGGGGGCACCAUUAUCACAAGUGGUGCCAAUGGGGGCACUACUCCCACAUGUGGUGCCAGUGGGGAUGCUAAUUUUACAAGUAGUGCUAAUGGGGGCACUACUAUCCCAAGUGGCAUUGUUUCUAUAGAGAGCAACAGCAGCUCAGUCAAUAGUAAUAUUUGUGCUGUAGAUGAGAAUGGAGCCAAUACAACUACUAAUGACACUGUAAAUACUUCUUCAGAAAAUGGAAGCAAUAGCAGUAACAUGGAUGAUAAUGGAUCUCAGAAUGAUGAAUUGGACUUUCCCACAGGAAGUGCCCAGCAUAUCAGUGAUGAUCAGAAUGAUGGAACGCGUCCAGAACAAGCUGGGAAACUUGGCAAAUUUCUCAUGAGAGUUAACAGAGGAUCAGUUGACCAUCCACGUGCAGAAGUCAGCACUCCUCUUAGUGUAAUUGGAGUAGAUGACAGUUCUAGUGUCAUGGAAGAUGCCCCAGUUUCAACAAAAGAAGAAUCUGAAAUAAUUGUUAAACAACCUUCUAAUGGUUUAAAGGAACCAAACUUUGAAGUAAGCCUUUCAGAAACUCAGCUUAGCGAUCUACGGAACAUUCACCAGAGUCAAGAUGCUGAGCGUCAGUUCAGCCGUGGAUUCAAGAAAACCAUUUCAUCAAAAUUUGAGGAUGAUAAUGCUACCAGUGAAACUGAAAUGGUGACAUUGAAGGAUGAUGAUACUUCAAGAGAUAUUCGUCCUAAGAAAGGGCCUAGUUCGUCUGUGGAGAAGACUUUGCCAUCUGACCAUCUAGGUGAGACAUUGUCUAUUCUUAAAGUUAUGGCUGGUAGUUCUAAGGAUCAAAGUCUCUUAGAUGUACUUGAAGAUAAAACUCAUAAAGAAAGCCUUGAUAAUAGAAUAAGUAAGGAAAGUGAUUCCACAGAAGCCAAGCAAUUAAGAGAAGAAAUGAGAUUGUGUGAAAUUAAUGAACAGUCCUCGUUAUCCUUUAUUUCUUCGAAAGCUCACCUAAUGCAAGCUCAUGAUGACAGUGACGCUGAUUCUAUUGAUAAUGUACGUAGCUCAAGGAUUAUAGGGCGGCGGAGCAGUUCAUCUAGUCAGACAAGUGACUCGUCACAGUUUUCUGGUAAUUCCCCCCCUCCAUUUUCUCCUCCACGAUCUCCAGGCUUAGAUCCUUCUUCAGAAGAAGAGGGAGCAGAACAAGAAAUAAUCCAAGGAGAAUUCUCUGAAUGUGAUUUAGCUAGAAAAGAAUGUACGGAAUGCACAGAAACUUCAGGAGAUAGUUUAAUUCAAACUGAAAGGAAGAAUGUUACUUCAGAGAACUUUGGUUGUGAAAAUGAAACCAGCACAAAUCGGGAAAUGUGUUUUUCUAAUGAUCAUGUUCUACCAUGUUCUCCAUCUAAGGGACAUGAGAGCAUAUUGGAGUCAUCAAAUGAAAUUUAUUGCUCUACUUCUAAGCAAGAUAUUCUUUCUCAAGAAGAAUCAGGCAUUCAAAGUGCUGCAUCAUCAGCAUCUAGGUCAGUGCACGAACCAGAAUCUUCCCUACCAAGAAAUGUUACAUCUGAAGAGAGUGUAGCUUUUCAGAGCAAUCAGUCUUUUGGAAUAGACCCUACAGUUCAGACUGAUGUUUAUACCCAAAAUGAUGUAAGCACAGAAAAUAUGUGUAGACCAGAGAUAGAGUUAUGUUCAGUAAAAUACAUGAAUUCUGUUGUAGAUAAAUGUAUAUUGGAUCAUAAUGUUGAGGAGAGACCAAAGCUUGUUUUAAAACUACCAACAAAAGCAGCACUCAAAGAUUUUGGUGUGGACUUUCUUCCAAAGGUGACACAAGACAAAAUUAAAACAAUUGAACAUCAGACACCUGACAGCAGUUCUGAAGUAAGCUCCACAACCCCUGACAACCCAGUCUUAGCAAUACCAGAAAAAAAGUCACGUGGAAGACCACCAAAGAAGGUAAACCGUUCAUCCCCAAAAAACUCAAAAAAUAAGCAAGACGCACACGUUGAAUUAACCACUUCUAAGAAAAGUCCAAAGAAGCCAAACAAAAGGAAACGAUUAUCAAAAAAAUUUUCCCUUGUAAAUGAAUCUACCGUUAACAAUUUAAACGUUAGUAGUCCUAAGAAAACUGAGCAAGUUAAAGAUAUUCCUUCACCUGCGACAGAAACAUGUCCAACACACAAUACUCGAGGAGGAAGAAGACGAGCCUGUGCUAAUGUCUCUUAUGCAGAAUUCUUUGAUUCUGAUGCACCAACUCCAUCUGUUAAGGCUCUUCCUCGGACAGAUCAGUUUGUUUUACAUAAAGCUGCAAUAAUACAACUACCAGAAGACCCUGAAGGUGUUUCAGUUCAUCCCACCAAUAAGAGGCGUAGGGGACGCCCUAAGAAAAUAAAUCAAAAAGUUGAUUCUGGGGCAGCUAAAGAAAGUUCAUCACUAAAUAAUACUUCAUCAUCUGCAGAUACUUCUUACGAAGAAUUGCCUGCAAACAGCAAGGAUGAUGAAGCUGGAUUAAAGUUUGCUAGUGAAGGAAAGACAGAUUCAUUGUUAAAUCAAACUUCUAAGAGGCCAAGAGGAAGGCCCCCCAAGAAAUUUAUUAAUGCUCAUUUUUUGUCAAGUGAAAACUCAUCACAGUCAGAUAAAAAGCGAUUUAGUCACAUGGUUUCUGAAUGUGUGCAGAGUAAUCGUGAACCAGACCUUGUAGAUAAAUUGGCUACAUCAGAUAUGGGUCCACAGCUUACUGUCAAGGUUAACAAAAACUCCAAUUUGAAGAUAACUAUCAGACGCACAUUGGUGGGUAAGAGAAUUGCAGAUUGUUCAUUUGAGAAAUCAUCAAGAAAGAAAAGAAAAACUUUGAAUUCUGAUAUCUCAGAUAUUCACCAACAAUCAAGAAAUAUUAGUGGCAUCAGUGCUCUGAACUCUGUUGUAAGUGAUGAUGAUGAUGAUAAUUUGGAUACAUGUAACCUCUCUCCAGCAUCAAGAGAAUCACCAGAAACUGUCCCACUACACUGUGAUCCCCAUGACCCACUAGGCAUUGAUUUUGUUGAUGAACCAAAUCAAGUUUCACGUUCAAAGGCCAACACAAAUAUUUAUGAAUUUGAUGAUAUAAGUGAUGAAGAUGUGCCUGUUGCUCAGAGGCUGAAAAGUCUCCAUAAGGGAAGCAAUCCCAUGUUCAAAAGAGCUAGAAAGAUUGUGAAGAAUGCUAUUAAAACUCCACUUAGAGACCCAAAUUUCAGUUAUUUGAGAACACCCAGUCGCACUCCUUGUCAUACCCCAGGUUACUCUACUCCUUCAUAUACUCCCAUAAGUUCUCCAAUGUACACCCCUGUUCACAGAAUAAACUACACAGGUCCAGGCUCGACACCACGUCACUUUUCUCAAGGCGAUUUUAAAAUACGUCUUCGUAAGAAGCAUCGAUCAGAAAGCCACGUCAUUCUUAAAAUCAAGAAACCUCAGCUUAAUGAAUUUUCUUCAGAAGCUCAACAGCAGGAUGACUUUACUGAUAUACCAAAUGCUCUAUGUGCAAUUAGUGAAGAAAAUAACAACAGUAAAGGAGAGGAGAACAUUGAUCAUAAUGCAGUGACAUCACAGUAUCAGGGAAACACCUCAUCUUCAACAUUUGCUAAUGCUCAGACAUGUGAACAAGGAGAACAUUCACAGACUUGUCCAGAAAUAAGUCUCCCAGCACCAGAAAUACUCAAGGAAGUAACACUAGAAGGAACUUCCAAUCUUUCAGAAAAUGCCUCCCAACCAUUAGUGGAGGUUGCUACAGUUUCUAAUGCAAGGGAAUCCUCAUUAAGUGCAAAUGACUCUGGAAAUAUUAGUGUUGAAACCCCUUCUAAAUCAAGUCCAAGAAAGAUGGGAUCUCAGAAUUUAGAGGUCUCUCUUGUAACUCAUUCACAAAAAUGUUCAGUGACUAGCACAGAAAAACAUUCAGGCUCAAAUAAGGAAAAUACAUUAACAUCCAAUAUGGAGAAAAAUACUCAAGGUAAACCAGCCAUUCCUACACUUAAAAUAAAAAAGUCUCUACUUUCUGGAUUUUCUUCCAUUCUAGAAGAAGCAAGUGAUAAGCAAAAAAGUCAACAGAGCACAAAAAUCAAGAGAACAGAUGAUGGCUUUUUGAUUCCCCAAUCUCCAACUCCUGGUCAUGUUACUCUAAGAUUAAAGCGAUGUAAUUCCCAUUGGGAGCAAGAUGAAAGUAUGUAUGAUAAAGACAAGACUAAUAACAUUUCAUUAUCUGACACCGAUGGACAGCAGGAGAGGGAUGAAAUGUGUGUUGACAAUAAUGAUGAAGCAUUUACUAGUGGAGGGGUGACAGACAGUGAGAACAACGAGCUAAAUGACAAGGUGAUUGCAAAGGUACAGAUGCCCCUUAAGAUAAAGAUACGUGCUGCAGUACCACCAGUGAGUAAUGAGGAAAAUGUGUGUGAUUUAGAGAAUAUUCAAAUAUUAAGCAGCAAAGUAAAUAGCACUGAGAAGGUGCAAAAUUCACCCAAAGAUAAAUCAAAAGAAAGUUUUAUCAAAAGUAAGCUGAAUGUUACAGCCAGUUCAGUGGAACCAUCAGUCUUUACAAAUUUGCCAUCAUCAUCCCCAUCCUCAUCUCAUUCUGAAUCUGAUUUACAAUUAUCAAACUUAUCUACACAAGAGUCUUCUGCAGUACAACCUAUUACACCACUGCCUGGUGCUUCUUUGCCAAACACUUCAGCGAUUGUUACACCGCCACCAGACACUUUACUGCCAAACACACCACCACCAGACUUACCUUUCUCUGAUGCACCUGCAUUAGAUACACAACAACUUGAUAAAUCAUUACACAGCACCCUCAACCCUGUUGAGGGUGCAACACAAUCAGAUAAAUCACCACCUGAUUCAUCACAGUCAGAUAUAUAUUCUCCUGUCACACCACAGUUAUCUGUUCCGCAGGUUUCUUCGCCAGAAUCUUCCAAUUCACUUACUCUGAUAACACAACCUACCUCAGCACAACACACUCCAUUACAGUCUGCCCAAAUAAAACCUGCUCCGACUCCUACACCAUCUCCUGUCACACCACGCACUGCUUAUUCCUCCAGAGUAGACUCUGUUGAGCUAGAGUUGGCAGCAAUCCUUGGCUCCCCAAACAAAAGUUCGGAAAGAAUUGAAUCGUCAGAUAUCAGGGCAAUGAAUGAUGCAGACUUGGAAGCUCUGCUACUAGGAGACAAGGGUGGCAGUAGUGUCAGAAGUGUUACACCAACUGUGUUUCAAGAGAAUGUUAAGAUAGAUGAUGGAAGGCCUGCAAGGACUCCACCAGCUUUAGGUUCAAAAGAUCUUUCUGAUAAGCCUCGAUCAGCAGUUCUUCCGAGUGAUAAUUCUAAUCAAACAACUGUGUGUGACCCAUCUCCACUAGAUGAAAGUCAGUUGACAUCACCACAAGAACUAAAUGCACAAACUUUUCUUGUACAAGACAUUAAGUUGAAAACUCCUCCUAAAGUGAUGUUAGAAAAACUUACCCCUAAUAUUAUUAGUACUCUUAAGAGAUCAUUUGGUUUAUCUUCAGAAUCGAGUACCCAAGCCCCAAAGAAACAAUUGAGGCGGUUCCAACAGACUUCUACAUCAGAAAUGAUCAAUCUUGUUGAAAGGUAUACAGAUGAAGAUGGUGAGGUAUCACCAUCAUCCCAGGGUUCAAAUUUUGUUGAGUCUGUAAAGAAAAGAAUUCUAUCAAGUCCAUCUGAGGGUAAUGAAUGCAAGAAACCUCGAAGAAGUGAGAGGAAUGUGAAGCCAGAUGAAGUGAGUGGAACAGUACAGGUUAAACCUCAGAUAUUGUCGAGUGAGAGAGCCCAUGAAAGAUCAGAAAUUAAUGAUGAAAAUUGCUUAGAGAUAGGCAAAACAGUUGUUGCUUUAGAAAGUAUCAAUGAUGAAAGUAGUAUAAAUGAGGGUGAGGAUUUAGCCUCAAAAGAUGAUGGUGAAAAUCUAGGAUCUAAAAACGGCUGUGACAGUGCCAUCCCUGAAACUAAUUCUGACCAGUUAAGUUGUGAUAAACGUAAUGAAAGUUCUAGUUCAAUGAGUCCUGUAGAGGAUUUGAGCAUGGCUGAAAACGGUAAUGGAUUAAAUUUAGAACCCAGAAUUGAUGAGACUUUAACUAGCACAAGCACUGAAGAGAAUAGUCUCAGAAGUGCUGAUAGCAGCUCCAACUUGACUUUUAACAGUGAUAAUUCUGGUGGUAACAACAUGAAAUUAGACUUGAGGACAUGCAAAGAAAAUGACAUGUCCAAGACAGCAACAAAAUGUAAGACUGGUAGCAAUGAAAUUAUGGAAAUGAGGCUCAGGCAGAGCAGUAGGGUAUGUCGGCACCCUGGUUUGAGACAGCGAGUACGGGUACAGAAACACGAAAAAGGUGGUGUUAGUCUUAGAAAGACGAGAGCCAAAUCUGUGGCUAUUGAAAAUUCAAGUGAUUCAACAAGUGAUUCACAGGGUGAAAGUAUCAACUUUCACACUAAAAAUAAGAACAAGAAGACUCUUUCAGACAAAAGCAGAAGGGAUAGAACUAAAAGGAAAAUUAGUACUGAUGAGGAAGAUAAUCAGGGUGAUCCAGAUAUAAAUAAGAAAACUGUUAAAAAUUUGAUAUUCAAUAAUGCAACAUUUCAGGCAAGCAUUAAGAGAAGUCUUAGAAUAUCAUCUAGUGAAUCUGACAGUGAUAUUUCUCAUGCCAUUAGCUUAAGCAAGCAAGUGAAUACGGACAUUAAUGAUAGAGAAAGUGACUUAAAAGAUAUUGAAGAUCGUUGUAAUGAGAAAAAUGAUCUUGGAGAAAAUGUGGUAGCAGAAAGAAAUAGUGAGAAGCAAAGUGAUGAUGAGAAUAAUACCACCACAACUUCUAAUCAAGAUGAAGAUGACACGUUGACUAUGGCUGUCUCUGCAAGGAGAAAAUCUGUUAAUUCAAGAAGCACAUCGAGGGAAGAUGUUCUUAAAUUGAGAAAACCACUUGAAGAGGAAAACAGACACGAUACCGAGAGGAGAAUGCAAUCUCAAACAACUCCUGUUACCUCAAGAAGCAGGCGAAGUUUGAGAAUAUCCAAUAAUCAUCCCGUUAAAAAAGAUGAAGUUAAUGUAGAGAGCUUUUUCAAACAAAAUCUGGAGAAUGAAUCAUCAGAUUUCACAGGAAACGAAGCAAACAGUUCAGCAUUAGAAACACCAGAGGUGACUGAUGAUAUUGAAGAAACAUUAAGAAGACUGGAUGGGACUUCUCCGGAUGCUCCUGCAUACAGUCCUCCUCGUAUGAGAUGUAGGAGUAAUAAAAAAUAUGUUUAUAGUUCUUUAAGCGAACUUAGUAUUGACUGUAGGGAACCCAAGUUAAGUGAAGCUGUGAAGAAAGGAAUGAAGGAAGAAAGGAAAGGAACUAGAUCACUUAAAAUGCCAGAUGAGAAACCAUGCCAAAAGAAAACUGAUAUUAAAAGUGGUAGAGGUAGAAUGCCAACAAAAAGUACACACACAGAAAAGCCAUGUUCAGGAAAAGUAUUUGGUAACAGUAUAGAACAAGGUUCAAUUACCUCUUCAGAGACAAUUGGCAAAAUACAAGAUACAGCUAAAAAUUUUGGAAAGCAAGCAGUUACAAAAGAGGAUGAUGAAAUUUGCAGGCAAAAUAGGAAAGUUGAUACUACUAAUAAUCUUACUGAAGCUGCCAAAGCAUUAAAUGCUUUUACAGGUGGUAGUGUUGGUAACGUCAGAGAUGUUCAUGUUGAUAAUGCUCCUGGCGGUGACCUUCCUGGAGAACUCUCUAUUGAAAAUACACCUUCAGGAGAUGAAUCUAUACAAGAUGCUCCUCUUGGAGAUGCCCCUCCGGGACACACUGCUCUGGGAGAUGCCCCUCCUGGAGAUGACCCCCCUGGAGAUGCCCUCCCUGGAGAUGUCAUUCCUAGAGAUGCACCUCCUAGGGAUACCCCAUCUGGAGAUGCCCCAUCUGGAAACACUCCAUCUGGAGAUGCCCCUUCAGGAGAUGUGCCUCCAGGAGAUUUCUCACCAGGAGAGAGUCCUAGUGGUGAUAAUCCUGAAGAUGUUCCUUCUGGAGAUGCCUCACCUGGAUAUAAGCCUGCUGGAAAUAACUCACCUGGAGAUGUUCCUUUGGGUAAUGCUUCAUCUGAAGAUGCUUCUUCUGGAGAUGUUCCUUCUGCAGUCUCCCCUUCUGGUGCCUCUUCUUCUGGUGGCACUUGUGCAAGAGAUGUUCCUGCUGGAGAUGCUCGUGCUGGGGAUGCUUGUGGUGACUCCUCUCCUGGAGAUAUUACAGUAGAAGAAUUUGACGUCAGCAUUAUUGAUAAUGAUGUAAAUGGAGGAGAAAAUGACUGUGAUGAUAAACCCAGCAGCACACAACAUGCUCAUCACAAAUCAGUUCAGUACAGUGAUGGUGCCAGUGAUCACGACUCAGAAUAUCGAGACUCCAUGUGGAAUAUGGCCUUCCUAACACCGGAGCGCAGAGAAAGGGACGAAACAUCUCCUCCUCAGCCAGAUUCUCCAGAGAGAAGUGUGCGUCGACGAUCCUCCCGGUUGCUACAGGUUUACCCGACACUUAUGACACUACAGCUUGGAAGUUUUGAGAGUCCAAUCAGAAAAGACCAUUCUGAGUUGCCUGCAAAUCUGAAUUGCAGCAACAUAACAUCACCUGGUAAUACAGAAAGCAAGACUUGUAUCACUGUUGGUACUCUCCCAAGUGUUGCAAAGGAUAGAAAGAAAGCUAGUAGACAAAAUUCACCAACAAAUGAAGAUACAACGAAUGUUGUAACAAUAGAAGAUACAACAAAUGCUCUGACAACAGAAGAUUCAGCAAACAGUGUGACAACUGAAGAUUCAGCAAACGUGACAACAGUAGAUGCAACAAAUGUUGCGACAACAGAAAAUACAACAAUUGUGACAACAGAUACAACACACACUGUGACAACAGAAAAUACAACAAACAUUGUGACAACAGAAGAUACACCAAAUGUGACACUAGAAAAUACAACAAAUGUGACAACAGAAGAUACAUCAAAUGUGACAACAAAAGAUACAACAAAUGUGACACCAGAAAAUACAACAAAUGUUGUGACACCAGAAAAUACAACAAAUGUUGUGACACCAGAAAAUACAACAAAUGUUGUGACAACAGAAGAUACAGCAAGUGUGACACCAGAAGAUACAACAAAUGUGACAACAGAAAAUGCAACAAACAUAGUGACAACAGUUACAACAAACUUGACAACAGAAGAUACAACAAAUGUUGUGAUAACAGAAGGUACAACAAAUGUGAUAAUGGAAAAUAAAACAAAUGUGGCAAUAAAAGAUACAACAAAUGUUGUGAAAAUAGAAGAUACAACAAAUUUUGAAGAUGAAUGUGAUGGCGGUGAAACACAAAUAUUGCCUCUUGAACAAAUUGAAGUUGUUGAAGUUUUGCCUGAAGCAGAAAUUCCAUGUGACUUGGAUAUUCAAGACCCUUUGGCUGAUGUUAUAGUGAGCAAUCGGGAAGUUUUAGAGCCUGGAGAAUCAAGAAUUGAUAAUUUGACACAGGAAGGUGUUGAAAUCAUUCUUAAAACUGAAGACUGCAAUUUAACUGGAAAUAAAACAAAAUCAACUCAAGAAAAAGAUGUAGAUGAAGAAGUAAUUGUGCAUUUUGAAAAGAUUAAAAAAGAUGAACUUCAUUCAACGGAGAAAACUAACCAAAGUCUGGUGUGUACCUCAAUACCUACAGAAAGUGAAUUACAUAAUAUAAAUUUUGGCAGUAAUUCAGCAAUAUCAGCACAAAGUUUAAGUGUCACAGAAAAUUCACCCAGUAAGGAAACAAUAGAUGGGGAGACUAGACAGAGAAACACAGUCCCGCCUGUUGAAGAAGUCUUUGAGACAAAUUGUGUGUUAAUGCCAUCAAAAGAGAACAGACAACAGGAAGAAAGAAAUCCAUGUUCUCAGGAAGUUAUCCAAACUAUGUACAAUUUGAACGAUGAAGCUGACUGUACUCCUCCCAAGUCUGAAAUGUUAGAAACAAACACAACAGAGCAGCAAGUUCAAGGCGUUCAUAAUGUCAAAUUAUUCUCUCCCUGUAUUAAAGACUCCCUGGAAUCAGGAGAGAGUAGCUCAUGCCUUUCAUCUGAUGUUGAUUUUGACAUAUUGGAAGAGGAUCUUUUUGGAACUUACCAUCAGGAAAAGAGAAGAAGAAGAAAAGGUAAUUGGUCAGCUAAGCUAAAACCUACUGGUAAUUCAUCUGCCUCCAAUCGAGGUAGGCUGUUUAAGAUUGCACCUGCUGACAGUAGCAUUACACCUAAUAAGGCAAAUUCUAAAUCUAUUGGAAGGAUUCUGAAAUCUGAUGGCAACAACGAAACUUCACUCUCUGACAAAGAAGCUACAUCAAUUUCUGAACAAGUAUCAGAUGAUAACAGACAGGAUAGGAUUAAACCGGAUUUACCUGAAACAGAAAAAACAAUGUAUAUGUCAAAUAGAAACACAAAUCAAGAGUCAACUACUAGUCUGAUGCAUACAAAGUGCAAUGACAUUCCUGUCUCAAAUGAUAGGGUUUUGACUAAACUCACAUCAGGUAUUGAAUUGCUAUCUGGUGAUUGUGCAAACAUUAAUAAUACUCGACAAAAAGCUGGUAAUACUGCACAGGCAUCAAGCGAAGGGCAUUCACAAAUGUUAAAUAAAGAAUCAGAGAUGUUAAGCAAAGAUAAUUCACAGAUAUCAAAAAGACAUGAUUCACAAGUAACAUUCAUGGUUGAUUCAGAGGAGGCAAAUAAAGAUAGCAUAACAAUACCAAAUGAUGAUGACAGACCAGUGUCGGAUGAAGGUGAGCCACCAGUGUCGGAUGAAGGUGAUCCACCAGUGUUGGAGGAACAUGUUCCACCAGUGUUGGUGGAAGAUGAUCCACCAGUGUUGGUGGAAGAUGAUCCACCAGUGUUGGUGGAAGAUGAUCCACCAGUGUUGGUGGAAGAUAAUCCACCAGUGUUAGAUGAAGAUGUUCCGCCAGUGUCGGAUAAAGGUGAGCCACCAGUGUCGGAUGAAGAUGUUCCACCAGUGUCGGAUAAAGGUGAGCCACCAGUGUCAGAUGAAGAUGUUCCACCAGUGUCGGAUGAAGGUGAGCCACCAGUGUCAGAUGAAGAUGUUCCACCAGUGUUGGAGAAAGAUAAUCCACCAGUGUUGAAGGAAAAUAAUCCACCAGUGUCGGAGGAAGAUACUCCACCAGUGUCAGAUGAAGAUGAUCCACCAGUGUCAGAUGAAGGUGAGCCACCAGUGUUGGAUGAAGAUGUUCCACCAGUGUUGGAGGAAGAUGAGAAAGAUGAUCCACCAGUGUCAGAUGAAGAUGUUCCACCAGUGUCAGAUGAAGAUGUUCCACCAGUGUUGGAGGAAGAUGAUCCACCAGUGUUGGUGGAAGAUAAUCCACCAGUGUCGGAUGAAGAUGAUCCACCAGUGUCAGAUGAAGAUGUUCCACCAGUGUCAGUUAAAGAUGGUCCACCAGUGUUGGAUGAAGAUGAUCCACUAGUGGCGGAGGAAGAUAAUCCACUAGUGUCGGAGGAAGAUAAUCCACUAGUGUCGGAGGAAGAUAAUCCACCCAUGUCGGAGGAAGAUAAUCCACCAGUGUCAGUUAAAGAUGAUCCACCAGUGUCAGAUGAGGAUGAUCCACCAGUGUCAGAUGAGGAUGAUCCACCAGUGUCAGAUGAGGAUGAUGUGUCGGUGUCAUCUAAAGAUGAUGCAUUAAUGUCAGGUAGAAAAGAUGCAUUGAGCAGAGUUAAAGAUGAUCCACCAUUGCCAGAGGAAGAUGGUCCACCAGUGUUAGAUGAAGAUGGUCCACUAUCAGCUAAAGAUGAUGCACUAGUGUCAGAUGAAGAUUAUGUACCAAUGUCAGCUCAAGAUGAUGCAUCAAUGUCAGCAAAAGGUGAUGCAUCAGUGUCACCUCAAGAUUAUUCUACAGUGUCAGUUGAAAAUAAUGUAUCAUUGUCACUUCAAGAUGAUGCGCAGUUGUCAGCCAAAGAUGAUGCAGAAGUGGCAGUUAAAGAUGCACCAGUGCCAGCUAAAGAUGAAGCAUCAAUGUCAGAAAAUGAUGCUUUGUCAGUGUCAGAUAAUGAUGCCGCACCAAUGUCAGCUGAAGAUCAUGUAUCAGUGUCAAAUAAUGAUGUUGUGCCAAUCUCUCUCAAGUAUAAUCCAAAAGUUUCAGAUGAAAAUGGUCCAAAAGUUUCAGAUGCAAGUGAUCCAAAAGUUUUAGAUGAAAGUGAUAGAAAAGUUUCAGAUGGAAAUGCUCCACCAGUGUUGGAUAAAGAUGUAGCUGCAGAGUUAGUCAAUGAUGAUCCUUCAUUGUCAAAUAAUGCUCCCGCUUCCAAUAAUAAUGAUGAGGCAAGAGUGUCAGUUAAUGAUGACCCUUCAUUGUUAAAUAGAGGAGAUUCACUAAUUUCAGAUGUAAAUUAUGCAUCAGUGUCAGAUAGAAAUGAUCGGCACUUGUCAGCUGAAGAUGAUUCACCACUGUCAGAUGAAGGUGAUGUACAGUUGCCAGAGCAUUGUAUUACAGAGAUGUCAGAUAGUGAAGAUUCAGACUUGUCAAAUAAAAAUGACUCGCAUGUGUCGGACAAAGAUGAUACACGAGUGUUCGUGUGUGAUACCCAGGUCUCCAAUGUUACUGAUUUAAUCGCAUCUGAGGAUGAUGCCCAAGGUACACCAAGGGAUGAUGAUCUAGUCACAUGUGAGAAUGAAGUCCAAGCAACACACAAGGAUGGUGAUGUCACAUUUGAGGACAGUGUCCAAGAAACACCCAGAAAUGAUGCCCAAGAAACACCUAGAAAUGAUGCCCAAGGAACACCCAGGGCUGACGCAGAGAUAUCACCUGAGGAUAAUGUGUAUCGCUUAAAGAGAGAAAAGCAAUCUGUAAUGUUUGAAUGCGACGUCUUACUGUCACAUGAGGACGAUGCCCAUAAGUCAGCCACUGUAGAAAAUGAUGCUUUAGUACCAGUAAUAGCCAAGAUGAAGGGCAAUACCCAAUCAUCAGGGAAGACCAACACAACAUAUAAUGCCCAAGUGUCGACCAACACAGCAGAUGGUGCCCAAGUGUCGACCAACACAGCAGAUGGUGCCCAAGUGUCGACCAACACAGCAGAUGGCGCCCAAGUGUCGACCAACACAUCAGGUGGUACCCAAGCGUCGAACACAGCAGACAGUGCCAAGCUGUUAACUAACACUGCAGAUGAUGAUCUAAUGUCGGCCAAGAAUCAUCUGUGUGUGUCAACUGAGAACAAGGUAGAUGACCAAGGGUCAUCUAAAAUAGAAAAUGAUGUACUUGUGUUGUCUUUAAAGGAGAAGACUACAACCAAGGAUGUAGAAAAGGAGAAGACCGCAACCAAGGAUGUAAAUAAAGUCAUGAUUACAACUAUAGAUGCAGAUAAAGAGGGGACCACAACCAAGGACAUAAGUAAGGAAGAGACCACAACCAAGGAUGUAAAUAAGGUGAUGACCACAACCAAGGAUUUAGAAAAGGAGAAGACCACAACCAAGGAUGUAAAUAAGGUGAUGACUACAACCAUAGAUGCAGAUAAGGAGGAGACCACAACCAUAGAUGCAGAUAAGGUGACCACAACCAAGGAUGCAGAUAAGGUGAUGACCACAACCAAGGAUGCAGAUAAAGUGAUGACCACAACCAAGGACUUAGAAAAGGAGAAGACCACAACCAAGGAUGUAAAUAAGGUGAUGACCACAACCAAGGAUGCAGACAAGGUGAUGACCACAACCAAGGAUACAGAUAAGGAGGAGACCACAACCAAGGAUGCAGAUAAGGUGACCACAACCAAGGAUGCAGAUAAGGUGACAACAACCAAGGAUUCAAAUAAGGUGAUGACCACAACCAAGGAUACAGAUAAGGUGACCACAACCAAGGAUACAGAUAAGGUGACCACAACCAAGGAUGCAGAUAAGGUAAUGACCACAACCAAGGAUGCAGAUAAGGUGACCACAACCAAGGAUGCAGAUAAGGUGACCACAACCAAGGAUGCAGAUAAGGUGAUGACCACAACCAAGGAUGCAGAUAAGGUGACCACAACCAAGGAUGCAGAUAAGGUGAUGACCACAACCAAGGAUGCAGAUAAGGUGAUGACCACAACCAAGGAUGCAGAUAAGGUGAUGACCACAACCAAGGAUGCAGAUAAGGUGACCACAACCAAGGAUGCAGACAAGGUGAUGACCACAACCAAGGAUGCAGAUAAGGUGAUGACCACAACCAAGGAUGCAGAUAAGGUGAUGACCACAACCAAGGAUGCAGAUAAGGUGAUGACCACAACCAAGGAUGCAGAUAAGGUGAUGACCACAACCAAGGAUGCAGAUAAGGUGAUGACCACAACCAAGGAUGCAGAUAAGGUGAUGACCACAACCAAGGAUGCAUAUAAGGUGACCACAACCAAGGAUGCAGACAAGGUGAUGACCACAACCAAGGAUGCAGAUAAGGUGAUGACCACAACCAAGGAUGCAGAUAAGGUAAUGACCACAACCAAGGAUGCAGAUAAAGUGACCACAACCAAGGAUGCAGAUAAAGUGACCACAACCAAGGAUGCAGAUAAGGUGAUGACCACAACCAAGGAUGCAGAUAAAGUGAUGACCACAACCAAGGAUGCAGAUAAGGUGAUGACCACAACCAAGGAUGCAGAUAAGGUGACCACAACCAAGGAUGCAGACAAGGUGAUGACCACAACCAAGGAUGCAGAUAAGGUGAUGGCCACAACCAAGGAUGCAGAUAAGGUGAUGACCACAACCAAGGAUGCAGAUAAGGUGAUGACCACAACCAAGGAUGCAGAUAAGGUGAUGACCACAACCAAGGAUGCAGAUAAGGUGAUGACCACAACCAAGGAUGCAGAUAAAGUGAUGACCACAACCAAGGAUGCAGAUAAGGUGAUGACCACAACCAAGGAUGCAGAUAAAGUGAUGACCACAACCAAGGAUGCAGAUAAGGUGACCACAACCAAAGAUGCAGAUAAAGUGAUGACCACAACCAAAGAUGCAGAUAAAGUGAUGACCACAACCAAGGAUGCAGAUAAAGUGAUGACCACAACCAAGGAUGCAGAUAAAGUGAUGACCACAGCCAAGGAUGCAGAUAAGGUGAUGGCCACAACCAAGGAUGCAGAUAAGGUGACCACAACCAAGGAUGCAGAUAAAGUGAUCACCACAACCAAGGAUGCAGAUAAGGUGAUGAAGACAGCCAAGGAUACUGCCCAGUUAACAGCUUCAAGGUAUGGGGUAUCUGGAGUGUGUGUCACGGAUUCCAGUAAUGUUACUAUUAGUGUACCAAGGGAUGCGAUUGCUCAGUCACCUGGGGAACCUUCGGAGUUAACAGCUAGGAAAGAAUCUAGGAGUGAGAAGAAUGUUGAGUCACCUAAUGAAGAAUCGUCCAUAAAUAUAUCAUUUGCAGAUUUAAGCAAAUUAUCGUUGAAGGUAUCAAUUGAUAGGUCAAUAAUAAAUUUUAAUGAUCUUAAUAUUUGUCAGUCUUCUACAAGAAAGGGACCAAAUAACCCCAGUUCAAUCUUGCAAGACCACGAUAAGGAUGACAAUCAAAUAACUACUACAGUACUUACACUAGACAAACAAGUAUUAGAAGUGAGUGAUUCUGAAAAGCGAAAGGAAAAGACUCGCCAAGAACGUACUCGGAUAAAAAAAUAUUCAAGCAAGUCAUCAAAGAGAGGGAGUCAUAAGAGUAAUGCAGCUGAUAGUAACAGAUCUGAAAGUGAAGAUGCUCAAAAAGAGAAGUCUUACACAAACAGUAAUAUAAAUAAGGAACUUGAGAAUAAAAAUGCAAAAGAAAGUUCAGCAAAGUUUAAAUCAAGUAAUGACUCUGAGGGAAGAGACAAUAAAGAGAAGUGUGCUGUUAUGUUAAAUGUUCACAUGUCGGAGUCUACUGAUCUCUCAUCCAAGUCGAGUAAUUCAUCAAAAUCGGCCAUGCAUUCAUCAGUGGAGAAACAUGACAAUGAAUCAUCAAAAGAUAGAUCUAAAAGUAAUGAGGACAAGAAAUCAAAUAAGGAUCCUAAAAAUCUAAACAUUUGUAGUUCUAUACAAGAGGAGCAAAGCUCUCUCUCUAUUGAAUCAACUUUAAUUGAUGUGAGUAUUGACCAAGACAUUGAAGGUACUAGUCACAAAAAUCUCUUAGUGGAAAAUGUUGAUGCAAACAGAAAAGAAGAUGGUUUGUUAAUCAAAGAUACUACAAAAGAAAGUGGGGAUGGAGAAACUUUGUCAUGUAAUGAUAUACCAAGUACAUCCACAAAUGAAGAGAAAAGACCCAGUAGUUCAAAGGAUAAAAAAAUUAGCUUAAAUAAGCUACUAGCAAAAGACGAUGAGACUGCAGACAGUAUGGUAAGGAAAUUAAUAGAUGUCAAAACACAACAGAGUGCAGAAAAGACACAGAUAAGAGCAGACUGUAUGAAAGUAAACACUGACUUAGUGGAGAAAGAAAACAGUAAUACUAACCAAAGAGAUACUGGCAAAUGUUUGGAAAAGAUGCCACUCCUCUGUAAUGCUGACAAGGACCACCAAACUCUGCAGUUACAGGAGGGCUGCAAUAACCUUUCCAUGGAAGGUUCAGGGAAUCGUGAAAACCUUACUUCAAGCACUUCAGGAAAUAAAAUUGAUGCCGUGUCUUCACUGGCAGUGGAACAUCAGAAGACUGUUAGUAGUUCAGAGAAGACAGAAGCAUGUCUUGUUAAAAAAGAUGAUACUCCGCUUAAAUUAAAACUAACAUUUGAUAACAAAGCUCACAUAGUGUUAGAAAAUUUAAAAGACAAAUCUUUUAUUACAGGUAUAAAUGUGGUUACAGAUUCAGAAUCUGAAAAUAAUAGUUCAAAUAUUUUAUUUGAAAAAGAUCAGUCUGCUUCUUCAGAGAGGGAGAGAGAGAGAGAUACUAAGAGAAAAGAAAAGAGAAAAUUGGCAUCCUUGGAGAAGGCAGAAAAUUCUAGUAGAUCGCCAAAAAUAAUUAAGAUGAAUGAAGUAAUUUCAACUAAUUUUGACAAGGAAAUUGAGAAGAUUUUUGGUCAAGAUUAUGAAACUAUUAGUUCAAGUAUUAAAUCUGAAAAAAUUUCAUCGACUUCAUCAGACAGACAUAAAGAUCAGUUAAAAGUUAAAGAUAUGCACUUAGAUAAGGGAGAAAAGCUUAAAAGGCCAUCAAAAAUAAAUAAGACAAAAGAACUAAUUCUAACUGGUUUUGACAAAGAAAUGGAGAAAAUAUUUGGUGAAGAUAAAAUAAUCAAGACCAAAAAAAAGAAAAAGAACACUGUUGGUGUUUCCAGAGACAAGAAAUGUGGAGAAACAACUGAUAUUAAAGAAAAUAAUGUUAAGCCUUUAUCCGAGGAGCACAAGAGCCAGCAUGUACCGGGCAACGAUAACGAAGGAUUACCCAACAAAUCCAAGGGUCUGGCAACAAGUGAAGAACUAAGUAAAAAAUCCGCAAGAGGCCAAAUGACCAACGGGAGGUCUUCAGGUAAAGACAAAAUUGAGAGGUCAUUGAUCAGGAGCAGGUCAUCAAGUAAGGAAAAGAGUCAUGAAGCAUCAUCCAGUAAAGAAAAGCACCAAAUAUCAUCAUUAUCAAAAAAGGGAAAGUGUCAUAAAUCAUCUCAUGGUAAGGUCAGCAGGCAUGGGUCAUUACGAGAUAGUGAUAAGAGGCAAAGGACAUCUGCUUCCAAAGAAAAUCACCAUGACACAUCUUUAAGUAGAGAAAAACUGCAAGAUUCAUCAACUUGUGAAGAAUAUAGCGUUGACCCAUCAAGUAAGGAGGAGAUGCAAACAUUAUCAGUGGUUGAUAAGUGCCUAGAAUUACUGAAAGGAGAGGCAAGUCAAGAAUUAAGUAAAAGUCAAGAUCAGAAAUUAUCUGAUAAGCAUGAGAGCCACAAAUCUAGUCGACCUACAUCAAGUACUGGUAAGGGUCUAGAAUCGAUUAAAGAGAAAAGUAAAAUAUUUUCAAGUAUGGAUGAGAGUAAAGAAUCCUUAAUUAAAAACAAUAUGAAAGAAUCAUUAAAAGAGCAAAAUGGUAAAAAACUGUCUGAUCCUGUUAAGAGUGGAACUCGAGAAUCACCGGGCUCAUCUAAUAAGGAAGUGAGUCAAGAAUCACUUAGCUCAUGCAAUAAGGAUGUGAGUAAAGAAUCACUUGAUACAUCCAGUACUGAGAUGAAUCAAGAAUCGCUUAUCUCAUCCAGUAAAGAAGUAAAUUUAAAAUUGCUUAGCUCAUCCAAGGAAGCGAAUCAGGAAUUAUUAUGCUCAUCAACUAAAAAUGAUCUGGAGUUACUAAAUUCACCGAGUAAGGAAGUAAAUCAAGAAACAUCAAACUCGUCUAAUAAAGGAGAGAAUCACGAAAUAUAUAUGUCGUCCAGAAUAGAGAAUCAAGAGAGAUUAAUGCUGUCUAACAGUGAAGAGGAUCAAGCAACUUCAUGUAAUAAAAAUGAGAAUCAAAGAUUAAACUCGCCCAGUAUGAAAGAGAAAAUGGAAUCGUCAGACAAAAAUUCAAAGCAAGUCUCUUCCAGUAAGGAAUUGGUUACAGCAUCACCAAUUACUGAAGCUAGUACAACAUUGUCGAGCUGUUUAAGAAAGGAAAGGAGCCAUGAAUCACAGGAGGUCACUAAGCAAAGACUUGUUAAGGAAAAAAGCGGAGAGUUGUCGGGUAAAGAAAAUAGUAGCAUGUCAUCUGGUAAUGAAAAGAGCAGAGAAUCGUCAGGGAAGGAGAAAAGCAGAGAAUCAUCAGGGAAGGAGAAGAGCAGAGAAUCAUCAGGGAAGGAGAAGAGCAGAGAAUCAUCAGGGAAGGAAAAGAACAGAGAAUCAUCAGGGAAGGAGAAGAGCAGAGAAUCAUCAGGGAAGGAGAAGAGCAGAGAAUCAUCAGGGAAGGAGAAGAGCAGAGAAUCAUCAGGGAAGGAGAAGAGCAGAGAAUCAUCAGGGAAGGAGAAAAACAGAGAAUCAUCAGGGAAGGAGAAAAACAGAGAAUCAUCAGGGAAGGAGAAGAGCAGAGAAUCAUCAGGGAAGAAUAGCAGAGAAUCAUCAGGAAAUGAGAAGAGUAAAGAAUCAUCAGGAAAAGGGAAGAGCAGAGAAUCAUCAGGAAAGGAGAAGAGCAGAGAAUCAUCAGGGAAGGAAAAGAGCAGAGAAUCAUCAGGGAAAGAAAAGAACAGAGAAUCAUCAGGGAAGGAAAAGAGCAGAGAAUCGUCAAGGAGGGAAAAAAUUAAAGAAUCAUCAGGAAAGGAAGAGAGCAAAGAAUCAUCAUGUAAGGAAAAGAGCAGAGAAUCAUCAGGGAAGGAAGAUAUCAAAGAUUCUUUGGGAAUGGAAGAAAGCAGAAAGUCAUCAGGAAAGAAGAAGAGCAGAGAAUCAUCAGGGAAAGAAAGAAGCAGAGAAUCAUCAGGAAGAGAGAAGAGCAGGAAAUCAUCAGGUAAGGAAAAGAGCAGAGAAUCAUCAGGAAAGGAAAGGAGCAGAGAAUCAUCAGCGAAGGGAAAGAACGUAGAAUCAUCAGGGAAGGAAAAGAACGUAGAAUCAUCAGGGAAGGAAAAGAACGUAGAAUCAUCAGGGAAGGAAAAGAACGUAGAAUCAUCAGGGAAGGAAAAGAACGUAGAAUCAUCAGGGAAGGAAAAGAACGUAGAAUCAUCAGGGAAGGAAAAGAACGUAGAAUCAUCAGGGAAGGAAAAGAACGUAGAAUCAUCAGGGAAGGAAAAGAACGUAGAAUCAUCAGGGAAGGAAAAGAACGUAGAAUCAUCAGGGAAGGAAAAGAACGUAGAAUCAUCAGGGAAGGAAAAGAACGUAGAAUCAUCAGGGAAGGAAAAGAACAGAGAAUUGUCGGGGAAGGAAAAGAACAAAAAAUCACCAGGGAAGGAAAAGAACGUAGAAUCAUCAGUUAAGGAAAAGAACAGAGAAUCAUCAUCGAAGGAAAAGAGCAGAGAAUUGUUAAGGAAGGGAAAAGGCAAAGAUUCAUCUGGGAAGAAAAAGAGCACACACACAUCAGAGAUGGAAAGGAGCAAGGAGUCUGUGUAUAAGGAAAAGAACCAAGAAGUAUCUGGCAAGACAAAAAAUCCAGAAUCUUCAGUAACUGAGAAAAGCCUAGAAAUAUUAGGUAAGGAAAACAGCCAAGGAUCUGUAAGUAAGGAAAACGUAAACAAAUUGAGUAUCACAAAUGAAGAAUCACACAAGGAAAAAAGCCAAAAGCCAAUAAUAAAUGAAAACAAGAAUCUAGAAACAGAAGAAUUUAGCAAAAAAAGUGUACCGGGUUUAUCAUCAACUGUGAAGGAUGUAGGAGGCUUACUCCAUGUUAGAAAAACAGAUCAAGGCCUUCAUACAUCGACUGGUAGGGAGGGAGGUCAUAUUACAUCUAGUACAAAGGAUGAUUUAUGCAAAACAUUAGAGAAGACUAAAGUAUCGUCACCUGUAAAGAAGGCUGUUGAAAACACAGAUUGUUGCACUUCUACUCAAAAUCUAGAAGGCAAGAUAAUUCUUAUUACUAGAGAAGCAAGUAAGUGUGUUAAGCGGAAAUUGCAUGUCAGUCGCUGGGAUGUUGUUGAUGUAAAAUCUGGAGAGUCUGCUAAAAAGAGGAGCCGUUGGGAUGUAGUUGAAAAUCUAAAAGAUAUAGUUGUUAGGACUCCAGGUAGUAUGGAAGAUAAUGACAAAUUAAAGGGACUUCAAAUGGGUGAGAUAAAAACUAGUAAAGUAGAAGUUUGUGGUGGUGAAAUAAAGCAAUUUGAGUUGAAUUCAUCAGAAGCUCAGAAGUUUAGAGAGAGCAGUUCACCAGAGACCAAACUUACAUCCUCACAAGGGGAACACCAAGAAGUUGGAGAAAGAAAUGAGAAAAUUAAGAAAGUUCUAGAUGAUGUGUUUAGUGAUGUGUCGGUUAAUAUUGACAGCAGUGAUAUUGAUGGAAAGUCUAGUUCAACUUCUGAAGAGCUGCUGCGCAAAGCUAAAUUAAAGAAAACACUAUGUGACCUGUUUGGUCAUUCGUCUGUAUCUCAGGCAAGAGAGUGUAGUAACCAAGGUUCAUCUGAUGGAGCCAGUGAACAUAUUCCUGAGUAUCCCAAAAAAUCACAAGUUUCAAAUACCCUUAAAACACCUAAAGUGAAAACCUUACACGAAUCUAAAAACCAAUCUAAGAAGGCUUUAGAGUUUUUAUUUGAAUCGGACUCGACCUUGAAAGAACAAGAUGUAUGUACACAAAGUAUACAGAACUAUACUGAGACAAAUCCUCAGUGUAUAAAGGAAAAUAUGGAAGAGGAGCAGUAUACACCGCAACCAUUAUUUAAGGUCAAGAAAAAGUCAGGAUGUAAAACAAAAUCAGAUCUUGAUAAUCGUACUAAGAAAAAACAAAAUACCACUUUGAAAUAUAAACCCCAUUCUGCUUCAAAUUCAACCCCAGAACUCGAGUAUCAACCCCAGUCAAUUAGAAAAGGUCUAUCAGAACCUGAGUAUGAACCCCAGUCCAUAAGUAAACAUGCCAUAACAUUAGCAUAUGAACCUUUGUCCAUCAGUAAAGAGUCUCCAAAGCCUGUGUAUGAGCCAAACUCCAUCACCAAAGGAACCUUAAAGCCCGAGUACGAACCCAAGCCUAUUCGAGGGUCUUUAUGGGCCAGUAAAGAAAACAAAAGCAGCACCCUCCAAUCUCUUCAGAUUAAAAUAAAAACAAGUGGGGAAAAAUUAGAGAUAGAUGAUAAAAUUGACAUGUACGUACCCAAGCCACUUUCAAAGGAAAGUAUUUUAACAGAAUACAUACCCAAGCCAAUGUAUUUGCCACUGUGUAAUAAAGAACAGGAAGAUGAAUAUAGCCCUCAUUCAAUUGGCCUUGAUAAGCCAACACCUGAAUACAUACCAAGUGGGAUUUGUGAGUCAGUGGAGCGUGAAGAAGAGUAUGUACCUCUACCACCGAAAAGUUUACCCAUAACAAAUAUCCAGUCAGCAGAGAGUGAGGGAGACAUUGCUUCAUUAUCUUCUCAAGUGGAAGAUGAUGAUUCACCAAACCUUGGCAAAGAUUUAACAACAAGGAAAUCAUCAGUGAUUACACCUGAGACAACUUCAUUAUAUACAGCUGACACAUACAGUCAGUAUUCAGUAACAUCUCAUACUGGGGAGAAGAUUACCCCUGGGUUUUAUAGGGAACAAGGUAGCGAUAAUAGUAAUCAAGAGAGUCAGAAACAGAAUUCAGGAAUUACAGGUAAAGGACUACCACCAAAGAAUCAGAAACAUGUGCCUUCCAAGAAGAGUGAAGUUGGAAAGCAUAAAACAAAGCCACCAAGAUCUGAACAGAGUAAGGAAUCUUCCAAGAUUCUCAUAUAUGUUCCUCCUCCUCCAACAUAUGACAUGAUCCUUUCAACUCUUGGAGACUAUAACCUUCCAGACGUUCUCCACCCAGCUGCAUUCUGCAGCAAACCAGCUGACAUACCUUCUAAACCUCUUGAAGUUGGGGGCCAGGUCUUGAAGUUAAAGUCAGGAAGGACAUCAGAUUUAGAAGAUUUUGAGGGACGUUUUCAAGAGGAUGGAUUGUACAAUUGGCGUUUAUUGCUAAAUGCAUUAAAUUCAGAAGCAAGUUUACAAGUAUCUCAUGAAUCAGCUUUUCUGGAAAAUCGAACUAAAUUAAAAUGCUCAAUUUUAACUCCUCUAAAACCUCCCCCUUCCCCAGAAGAAGUUAUUAAAUGGACGAAAGCACGCAAAAUUCUUGAAUCAAUUAAGAAGAAGGGUGACCAUAACAGCAAAGAUGAUGAUAAUGAUCCUUCAUCAUCAAAAGGACAAAAGCAACUACCAUCUGGCAGUAAAAACCAAAGUACCAAAUCCUCUAACACCACAACCAACCAGGAAACAAGACCACAGAGGGAUUCCUCCAGUGGAUCGAGUCAAGUUCAGGCAGAAACCAAUUUUCAGUUAUUGAAUACCAGCACACCUCGACCCAAAAAUGCAGUCGCUCUAGAAGCUUUACAUCUAACUCCAAUAGGAAGUGCUUCAAGUCCAUUAUUAUCUACUGAAAAGAUAAGUCAUUGCAAGACACAGUCUCAGAAAAGAAGAGCAAAGCGUAGAGUAUCUUGGGAAGGGGAUGAAUCAAAAUUGAGAAUCUCUCCAAUUACUCUCAAGAAAAGGAGAACUUCCUUUGAAGGCCUAGAACCUUUAGAGGAGGAAUCUGAAGAUCAAUUAAGCCCAGACUCAAACCCACAUUCAAAAAGAAGAGUAUCUUUUGAAGGAUUGGUUUUGAAAUCCAGGGUUCUGGAAGAAAAUCCUGCUGGCAGUUGUAUGAAGUUGUCUGAACAUUUAGAUAAUGAAGAAGCAACUACAAGUAAUAAGAUGGAAACAGAAGAUGCAACAGCUGUCUCUCAGAUACCUGAGCCUGCAGGAAGUUGUCAAGGUUUUGAUACUAAUCUUGAAGAAAAGACACAGGUGUUAGAAAGAACAAAGAAGGACUGCCAACCAAUUUUUAAAGAUAACCUUGACAAUUCCCAGUCUCUGUUGUCACAUAUUGCCAUCUCCGUAGCAUCUAAAUUAACAAGUCAUCAGUCAAGUGAGCAGUCAAGUCAGCACUCCCACGACUCUACUCUUCGCCGCCACCUCAUGAAUACCCAGUUCAGACAACAGUUCCUCAGUUGUUCUCAAGGACAAGGAUCUUUUUCACAGUCUAUUGAUGGCCCAUCACUGAACAAUACUUUUGGUUUUAAAUUCUCAAAUCACAACUUAUAUGAAGCAAAGGCUCUGCAUGAGAUUCACUCAUAGAGAGGUUUGGAGAUGAUGAGUGGCAGAAAUGUCUGGACAAGAUUCCACAUGUGGCCACCUCUCCAGUCCUUGUGGGGCAAGUGUCAAAAUUUAUGGGAUUGAUUUGUUCAAGAUCUUAUGAGUUCCUGACUGUGAU
rnacentral:misc_RNA from 1 species